ACACGGGCAUUGGGUUCUCAAGG
rnacentral:piRNA from 1 species